rnacentral:rRNA from 1 species
GACGAACGCUGGCGGCGUGCCUAAUACAUGCAAGUCGAGCGAGCUUGCCUAGAUGAAUUUGGUGCUUGCACCAAAUGAAACUAGAUACAAGCGAGCGGCGGACGGGUGAGUAACACGUGGGUAACCUGCCCAAGAGACUGGGAUAACACCUGGAAACAGAUGCUAAUACCGGAUAACAACACUAGACGCAUGUCUAGAGUUUAAAAGAUGGUUCUGCUAUCACUCUUGGAUGGACCUGCGGUGCAUUAGCUAGUUGGUAAGGUGACGGCUUAUCAAGGCAAUGAUGCAUAGCCGAGUUGAGAGACUGAUCGGCCACAUUGGGACUGAGACACGGCCCAAACUCCUACGGGAGGCAGCAGUAGGGAAUCUUCCACAAUGGACGCAAGUCUGAUGGAGCAACGCCGCGUGAGUGAAGAAGGGUUUCGGCUCGUAAAGCUCUGUUGGUAGUGAAGAAAGAUAGUGGUAGUAACUGGCCUUUAUUUGACGGUAAUUACUUAGAAAGUCACGGCUAACUACGUGCCAGCAGCCGCGGUAAUACGUAGGUGGCAAGCGUUGUCCGGAUUUAUUGGGCGUAAAGCGAGUGCAGGCGGUUCAAUAAGUCUGAUGUGAAAGCCUUCGGCUCAACCGGAGAAUUGCAUCAGAAACUGUUGAACUUGAGUGCAGAAGAGGAGAGUGGAACUCCAUGUGUAGCGGUGGAAUGCGUAGAUAUAUGGAAGAACACCAGUGGCGAAGGCGGCUCUCUGGUCUGCAACUGACGCUGAGGCUCGAAAGCAUGGGUAGCGAACAGG